CAGUCGCCGCGGUAAUACGGAGGGGGCUAGCGUUGUUCGGAAUUACUGGGCGUAAAGCGCGCGUAGGUGGUUUGUUAAGUUAGAGGUGAAAGCCCGGAGCUCAACUCCGGAAUUGCCUUUAAGACUGCCGAGCUAGUAGGUGAGAGAGGUAAGUGGAAUUCCGAGUGUAGAGGUGAAAUUCGUAGAUAUUCGGAAGAACACCAGUGGCGAAGGCGGCUUACUGGCUCAUUCUAGACGCUGAGGUGCGAAAGCGUGGGGAGCAAACAGGAUUAGAUACCCCUGUAGUCCCUGUCUCUUAUAC
rnacentral:rRNA from 1 species